UGUGCCUUGCCGGCUCUGCACUGGUUGCACUCAGGCAAGCUGACGGGAAUCGGCGGUGGCAGCCAUGCGAAUGAGGGCUGCUGUGAAGUUACAGUUGCAAUAUAAAGAUGACAAGAAGUUCAAGACAAGAUAAAGGACCCCAGUGAGAUUGGACACUGAGAGGUGCACCAGACUUCCUCCUUUUGCUUGGCACUUCUCUUUUUAUUCUUUGAUUAAAGUCUUUUUCCUUUACUUACAUCCUC